ACAGUGGUCACGUUUGUGCUGCUGAACACAAAGGAAGAAAGGAAAACACUGAUUUCUGGAUGUUUUUCAGAGGAUUAUAGUGCAAAGGAAGAGGUAUUUUGACCCUGGCUGAAGUGGCACUUGGUGACGCACCUGUAUCGAAGAGUGAUAACCAUGGAGCUCCUAUGAAAAGGAGCAGCACUGUUUUCUGAAAUUCCCUGCAAUAAGGAUUCUGCUUGCAGAAGGGAGAUCAAGGGUUCAAGACAUCAGAGUACAAAUGCUGCUGGACAUAUUGUGGUCUACCAACCAUGUUAUCACAUCUCACAGACUGUGAUAGACGGAAACCUUGGUGUGACAGACAGCUUGCCUGUGACUUUGUCUUCAUAAACCAUGUGCGCCACAGUCAAAACUCCACCCUCAGCAAAAAGAACAGAGGAACAAAAGCAGCGAGGUGCAGCAAGGAUUGGAACAAGGCAGGUUGAGGUCAGAGAUUUCCCACUGGCUUCCAGCUGCCAGGAGAGCCACACUACCGAGCGGAGUGCCAAGGGAGAGGCUCCAAAGUUUGCUUAUGGAGGUUUGGGGAGGUGGUCUGUGACAAGCCUUUGGUGUGCAGGUGAAUGGACUCUAUCUCAGCUAUCAGAUCUUCAGAAUCGUAGAACCAGGAAGGUUGAAGAAGAUAUCUAAGAUCAUCUGGUCCAGCCAUCAACCCAUCCCCACCGUGUCCACUAACCCACGUCCCUCAGUGCCGCAUUUACAAGUUUCUUGAACACCUCCAGGGACAGUGACUGCACCACCUAUCCAGGCAGCCUGUGCCAAUGCCUCACCACUCCUUCUGAGAAAAAAGUUUCCUAAUAUCCAACCCGAACCUCCCCUGACACUACUUGAGGCCAUUACCUCUUGUCCUAUUGCUAGUUACAAAGGAAAAGAGGUCAACCCCCACCUUGCCACAGCCUCCUUUCAGGCAGUUGUAGAGAUCAAUAAUGGCUCCCCUGAGCCUCCCUUUUCCCAGAAUGAACAAUCUCAGUUCCCUCAGCUGCUCCCCAUAAGACUUGUGCUCCAUACCCCUCACCAGUUUUGUUGCCCUUCUCUGGAUGUACUCCAGGGCCUUGAUGUCUUUCUUGUAGUGAGGGGCCCAAAACUGAACACAGCACUCGAGGUGCAGCCUCAUCAGUGCUGAGUACAGAGGGAAUCUUCCUCGGAGGAUGAUGGUUAACUGAAUUAUUUUACUGACAGCAGCUUUGAUUUGAUAAAACUCUGAUAAAAUUAAUACAGGGAAGUGCUUCAUUAAAAUCAGGAUAAGCUCCAUGGAAAGCCAGUGCAUCACACCUAGUCCACCUCUCCUGGUAGCUAACUGUGUUUCCAGGCUCUGAGCCAAGAAACCAGAGCCAUCUGCAUGCACUCAUUCUGAGAUGCUCCUGCCAGGGCUCCCAUGCUCCCUGCAAUCAGGUUCUCAGGUGGGUUCCUGAGGUAGCAGGGCAUAUAUCCUGCCCUGAGGCAGGAGAGCUCACUGUUCCAUGGUCUGCAGCUGUAGGAGAGAGAUCUUCCUAGGCCUGGAGCUCUGCCUACAGCUGGGCGCAUCUUCUGCUCUUUAGGAUGGCUUCCUGAGCCCUGAGAGCCACUGAGGAUCUCAUGGGACUUCCAGGGCAGAAGGUUAGGCUCUGAACUGAACAUAGCAGGAUGGAAUUCCAACGCCUGGUGCAGCUCCUCUGUUCAGGCUGUUGUAACACUGCUGGACCAUGGGCAGCUGCUUUCUGUCCUGGCUGGCUCCCCGAGACAUUGUGAGGGCUUUUCAGAAUUCUCAUCUUGAAGGAAAUGUGGAUAUCUUUAGCCCUAAUUAAUAAACAUUGACCUUUUAUGAACUGGCAAAGACAUCACAUAUAUGAGCUCCCAGAAGAACUUCCUUUUGGCUUUGGAUCAUCAUGUGGGCGGUGCUGGCAAGCCAGCAGGGGAUUUUUGCCAUAAGGGUGGUCAGGUGCUGGCACAGCCUCGCCGAGUGGCUGCGGGUGUCCAUCCAUGGGGACACCCAUCUGGACAUGGCUCUGGCUGAGCCUGCUCUGGGGAGGAUGGAGUAGGACACGUCUGUCUGGAUGUGCCUGCCAGCAGCAGUGAUUCUGGGGGUCAGCACUGACAGCAAAAAAGCUGACUUCUGCAGGAAGACUAAAAGCUUCUCUUUGACCAUCAAUUUUAGCUGCAUGCUCAUGGGCAGGAAGCACUGUCUUUUGGAUGAGUAGCUUUCCCCAGCUGACGAGAACACAGCCUGGAGCACAGCAAGAAAAGCAGCAUACUAAGCAAUGAGGGCUGCAGCAGAAAUAGGCUGCCAGUGGGACUGGCUGUGUUUUAUGGCCAUCCAGACCAUGUGGCUGCAGGGAAACCAUGAUAUCCAUCGUGCAACUUGGAGUGAAUCUAUCUGAAGAAUGACUUGCAAAAAGUCAGAAUUUGAGUGGAAAGUAAAGGGUAAAAAUGGCAGAAAUCCCAAAGCUCAUUCUCAGCACUUGCUGCUGGGAGUGGGUAGAAGCCUGUCCUCUGGGCACAUUAGAGAGUGAUUUCAGUUCCUGCAUUCUCUCCAGACAGCUGUACUGGGCUUGUGACUUGAUGUGCCAGCACAUACUUUGUGCCCUUGUUUUCUGCCUCUCUUUUUCUUCCUCCUCUCCAGUGUGAAACCCAUCUCCAGCUUUCCUUGUCAUUGCAACGAAUGGAAGUCUGCGGCUGUGUGCAAAUACUGUCUCUGCAGCAGUACAAGGAGGAUGCGAGGUGCCAGCACUCAUCCCACCACUGAGAGGAGGAUUCGGUUUCUGGCUGCUGUUGGUAAAAGACAGAUGUACAAUACACAAAGCAAGAGCUGACAUUCAGAAUGUGUGUCACCGUUUGCACUGGGCAGGUUGGUGUAACCGUUUGCAUGUCCGCCUUGCAGUGCAGUCCUGUUGGUGAGUGCAGGAAUCAUUUCCAGCUCUCAGCCCUGCCCUCUCAUCUCUCAUUCUCCUGUUUCCAGUUGCUGAACCCAUCCCCAGCCCGUGACUGUCAGCCUUGGUGCUUCCAUGUCUCUCCUGAAUCCACAGUGUGGAAAAACCAGGCCACAAACAUGUUGAGAAGACAGAUGGAUUUCAGCGAGGCUCAGGGGGCUGCAGAGAGGGUCUGGGUACAGGAAAUUGGCAAAGUAGAUGAGGAGAUGGGAGGAAUUUGUGAUGGUAAGGAAGCAGGAGUGGAGGAGGAAGGAUGGGGGAACAGGCUGGUGCAGCAACGGAGAGGUGCAGCUUAGUCUGAGAGCCAGGAAGGGAGGGCAGGAAAGCUCGCGUGGGCUUUGCUGUUGAGGCAAGGAUGAGGAUGGGAUGGGCAUCUUAAUGCUUUGGGAAUGGAAAUGGAAGACUUCUUAAGUCUCAAAUGAUAUCCAGUGGGUGUUUCCUGAGCCAGGAGAUGUCCCACCUUGGCCACCACUAGGAAAAAGAGCAGACAGAGAUGGCAACUCUCUUCUUGUCAACAGCACAAAUUGUCAACAGCACAAAGGGAGUUUUUGAGGAAGAGAUAGCUAACCAGUGAGAAGCAUUGGCUAAAUGGUUACUUAAGAAGAUUCAUUUUUCAAAGCCUGUGGUACUCAUGCACUGGAACUAACAGUUUCCAGGUCCAAUCUCCUGCUGGCGGGAGGACGCUGAGAAGUGCAGCUGACAGAUGGGUGUGCUUGCAGCCAAUCUCCCUGCGGUGCCCUGGCAAUGUACGGUGCAGCGCAGUGGAAAAGCACCGUUCAUGGAACAGACUGGAAACGAGAGCACUGACAGUGAGCUGUACUUGGACCAGCUCAGCCAAGCUGUAUUUCUGCACUGCUUAUAAAACCAGAAUUCAAUUUAUACGUGGAUUCCAGAGUAUCAUCAGGUAGAAAAUAACAACAUGGUCCUAAAUCCUCUUCCCUCCUCUUCACGCAGUCAUAGGGGAGGAUGCUGCAUUACCCCUCGAUGCUAUGGGUGAAUUUCCUUAAGUUUUGUAAGCUGCCAUUUGCAUCCUUUCUUUCCCCUUUUCUAUCACCACAGCUUAUGACAUGUUAACGUUGCUGACAUUGUUCCCAGGUCCAUGGGAUGCCAGUGGGCAUGUCCAUCUUGCCUGGUGCUGCUGCAGUGAAGGACUGCAAACCCACAUGUGCAUUCACGUCUGUAAUGGUUCAGAGACUCCAGAAGAUCAUAUUAAAUUAAAUUAAGGAGAGUAAAAUGUGUAUCAGGGGCAAUAUGAGGUGAUGCUUCAUUUCCAGUGUCCCAACUUGUUAAAAUAAAAAGCAUUCAUUC
ensembl:lncRNA